UUUCCGUAGGUGAACCUGCGGAAGGAUCAUUCAUAAUAAGUGUUUUAUGGCACUUUUUAAAUCCAUAUCCACCUUGUGUGCAAUGUCAGUCGUUCUCUUUUUUGAGAGCGACCAAACAUCAACUUAUUCUUUAACUCUUUGUCUGAAAAAUAUUAUGAAUAAAAUAAUUCAAAAUACAACUUUCAACAACGGAUCUCUUGGCUCUC
rnacentral:misc_RNA from 1 species